AGAGUCCAGGUUCUCGGUGAAGGGGGGGCUCUGGUACGUGUCGGUGGUCUCGGGCCCGGGGACUGUGCCGGCGGGGUACGGUUGGAUAGUAGCAUUGCCGUCCAAGUGUUCCGUGGUGAAGAGGCUCAUAUCAGUGCCCAGAAGGAACUUCUGCACGGCUCUCACCGUCAAGCCAGCCUAGUGAAGAACAGAGAAGGCAUGUAGUGGACGUUUUGACAUAUCACUCAACAUUUCCUGUGGCUCUAAGCUGCUCACCCAGGUGAAAAUGGAGAAGAAGGAGAAGGCAAUGGCAGCACGGGCAGCAUCUGCCCCCUGGUUCAAGGGCAACUCAUCUGGGGUGGUGCGACUCCACUGGUUAGCCAGGAAGCAGAAGCUGACAAACCACAUGAAUGUCCAGAAACCUGUAACCAUGGAACAGCCAUGUUCAGCCCAGCGCAGCAUUGAAAAACGACUGCUGUCCAUAACAACAGUGCAGGACAGCAUAGCAACUAAUUUCAGUCAAGCAGUCAGUCAGCCAUUGUCUAUUGUGACUCAGAUUCUAGAUAUGGGUCUUGGGAGAGGUGCUUUACCUGAAAAACCAAUCUCAAGCAUCACUGCCUUCUUCCUGUCUUUGAUGCUGCUGAUCUGCUGGAACUUAAAGUCCAAGGCGACGAAGAAGAGGCAUGCCAAGAAGGCUAUGAGGCCGAUGGUGAUCCCAAAGUUGCAGGCAUCGUUGUUCUUGUUGUAGACGCAGUACAGUCUCUCACUCCCGAUGUUGAUGUAGCCCUCGUUCACAAUGGACCCAAACACGACUAUGGAAAAAAUCUGCAAAGACGACGCAAGGCGAUUUGGGUUUGAGUAGAGCGUGAAUAUAUUAUGAAGAACAGUGUAGUCCAUGGUGCUGUAGGCCAAUUGAUUAUGCGAGGUCUCACAUGGCACCAAACACUACAGUAGAUCAAUAUUUAGACAUGAGAAUCAGGAGACUGAUGGGACGUGGGGUAGAUGGAGAUCACAUGACAUGGUUGAUGGAUGGACAGUUUGAUGGAUCCACAUGAAUGUGCAGUGUCAUCAGAAGUGUCAAUGAAAGGCCAGCAUCAGUGGAGAAAUCUCAGCUGCCAUCAGCCCAUUAUGUUGUAACUGUUAUCUGCAAAUGGGGGAUUAUGUUUUUUGUUUUUUUUAACAUAUAGUUCACCAACAUGCUGGUGCUCUGAUGCUUAUGGGCCCCUCAAACAGAAUGACAGCAACUACAACUGCUCAGUAGUAACUGCAUACGACUCCUAAAUUGUUAGUCAUUUUAUGUUUAAAAGAAAACUUGUCCACAUCAGUAAACAUUGUAUGCGCAUGAAA